UAGGACCUUGCCACUUAAUGCAAAUUAGGAAUUGUCCCCAGGUUCUCCCAGUCCUAUGUAUUUCCUAUACUCUGGACAAAUGCUGAGCAGAGUCACCAAAGCUGUCUCCAGGAGGGCUGUCUCCGUCUUACCCAGCCCUGUUCCCUGCUUCUGCUUCCUCCACCCUUGUGGCCCAAUGCAGCCAGCACCACAAGUGGGGAUGGGAUGGAGCCUGUGGGUCCAUCCAGGCCUCUGGUCCCACACAGCCAAUGAAGACCUGCCUGACAGCAAUCCCUGGACACCCUGGAAAGAAAUUGGGCCACACCUUCUCGACUGCACUGGAUCCAACUUGCUCCAUUUCAAUUGACACUCCGGCCAGAGGUUCGGGUACUGACUUCAAUCAAGUUGAGGAUUUCAAGCGAGAUCUUCAAUCAAGUGAAUCCCAUCUAACAUGGACUGGAUACAAUCCAUUCAAGACUUUCACUAUACUAACAUUUUCUUCCUACAGGACCCCACAUGACUAUCAUCGUUCCAUUUCAGCAGGAAUAACUUGGAGAAUGCUAUGCCCCCUUUCCCCAUUGUUGUCACUUAGGAUAGUGUAUAUACCUAAUUAGGAAUAGCUUCCUAUUGUUUAUGGUUGGGAUUGGAAGGAGGUGUUCAGGCUUGAACAACUCUUUCAGAUGACUUUAGGGUUUAGUUAAAAUAGAUACUUAGGAUGUGACAUAAGCAGAUUGUUGUAUCUUCUUAUAUUUUACCUUUAUGAUUUUUAAUUUUGGAUACUUUAAACUGUUAAGUUUUAAUCCCCUUUUAGACUAAAAGGGGAAUUGUAGGGGAAUCUGUAGCCACGCCUGCUUAGGGGCUGGCUACAGGUGUGCCUGACCACGCCC
rnacentral:lncRNA from 1 species